GUAGGCUGGUAGGAAAUACUGGGAGCUGGAGGUUUGACAUCCUAGCUUUUGUCAGCAGGAGUGUGUGGCCAAGCUCCUUCAGCUUUUGGAGCCUCGGGUAGUUUACCCACUUAAAGGCAGGUGAUAGCAGCAGCCCACUGAGUGAAUGAGAGCUUCAGCUGGUAUGCAGAGAAGGGUGGAUGUCACAGCACUGUUAGUCUGGGUACUGGCACUACCACACUGGCACUAUCUCAGGCUUGUCAGCACAGAGGGAUCCACCAUCCAGCUAGCUCACAUUCCUCAGCAGCCAGCAGGAAGCUUCCGGAGAAGAGGCAGCUGGCUCUCUGUGAAGCAUGGAAGGCCUCAUGAAUUGGCCCAUAGCAUCUACCUCUGCAAGAGGAUUGGAAAAGUGCCUGGAAGGAAGGAGAAAUGAGAAAUGCUCUUGGGUGAAGAAAGCUUUCAUGGAAUGGAGUUGGAGCUGGGGUAGGAGGGGCUACGGAGGAGGAGGAACCCAAGCUUGUGUAACAGUACCUGCUACACAGCAGGUGCUCAAUAAUGAUUUGUUGUUGGAAUAAAUGAGCUCCUGGUUUUCCUUUA